rnacentral:rRNA from 1 species
GAUGAACGCUGGCGGCGUGCUUAACACAUGCAAGUCGAACGGAAAGGCCCAAGCUUGCUUGGGUACUCGAGUGGCGAACGGGUGAGUAACACGAGGGUGAUCUGCCCUGCACUUCGGGAUAAGCCUGGGAAACUGGGUCUAAUACCGGAUAGGACGAUGGUUUGGAUGCCAUUGUGGAAAGUUUUUUCGGUGUGGGAUGAGCUCGCGGCCUAUCAGCUUGUUGGUGGGGUAAUGGCCUACCAAGGCGUCGACGGGUAGCCGGCCUGAGAGGGUGUACGGCCACAUUGGGACUGAGAUACGGCCCAGACUCCUACGGGAGGCAGCAGUGGGGAAUAUUGCACAAUGGGCGCAAGCCUGAUGCAGCGACGCCGCGUGGGGGAUGACGGCCUUCGGGUUGUAAACUCCUUUCGCUAGGGACGAAGCGUUUUUGUGACGGUACCUGGAGAAGAAGCACCGGCUAACUACGUG